GACAAACGCUGGCGGCGUGCCUAAUACAUGCAAGUCGAACGAACCGCGACUAGGUGCUUGCACUUGGUCAAGGUGAGUGGCGAACGGGUGAGUAACACGUGGGUAACCUACCUCAUAGUGGGGGAUAACAGUCGGAAACGACUGCUAAUACCGCAUAGGACAUGGGAUCACAUGAUUCUGUGAGGAAAGGUGGCGCAAGCUAUCGCUAAGAGAUGGACCCGCGGUGCAUUAGCUAGUUGGUAGGGUAACGGCCUACCAAGGCGAUGAUGCAUAGCCGACCUGAGAGGGUGAUAGGCCACAUUGGGACUGAGACACGGCCCAAACUCCUACGGGAGGCAGCAGUAGGGAAUCUUCCGCAAUGGACGCAAGUCUGACGGAGCAACGCCGCGUGAGUGAAGAAGGUCUUCGGAUCGUAAAGCUCUGUUGUUAGAGAAGAACAGCGCAUAGAGUAACUGUUAUGCGUGUGACGGUAUCUAACCAGAAAGCCACGGCUAACUACGUG
rnacentral:rRNA from 1 species